rnacentral:ncRNA from 2 species
UCGGAUGGAGUAGCGCCAGGACUCGUCGCGGGGGAGACGAGUCGACGAGGUGGAGGUCGAUCGAGGCAUUCGGCGGAUGGCCUCCCGGCUCGCACGGUCGUGACGGUGAGAGCAAAACCGGUGGGUAACCGCCGGGACAAAGGCUCACCGAUGUGCCCCG